AGAUAACAACAUGCUAUGCUAGAAUACUAACAAACGAAGAGAAGAAGAAAUAUCGACCUGGACAACCUCAUUUAGUUUGGUUUAUGCCUACUGGGAUUUCUGAAUAACAACUAGCCCCUUACCCAAUCGACCAUGCUUCUCGUCAAGGCAAUUGGAAGAAACAUCAUUUUGGAAGUUUUAAGCAUUGUCAAGAGAUGGUUGUACCUAUUUUGAGUGACCUGUCUUCAGAAGCUCGUCAUUGGUUUGUAGACUGCGUGAAAAUCAAUUCAAAAACUGUUGACAUUUGGGAUUCAUUGACCAGCGAUGAAACAAAGGCCGAGAGGUUGGAACAAACUAAAGAAAUGUUGAGUACCCUGGAUAAGUUAUUUUACUUUGACAUUGCUGGCUCAAGAGGGGUGGAUUCAUUUAAGUUCUCUACUUUGAAAUCUCUUUUAAAGUUGGUUGCCCCAACAAACUAAUAUUCAUGACUGUGGUGUUUAUGCUAUGAAGUAUAUGGGAGGCAAUUAGUGAGGGAAAUGCAAAUGCAUACGAGGAAAAUAGCUUUGGUGGCGGGAAAGGUUCUUGGUAGCUUGGGGAUGUGUAUUGAGGCGGGAUGGAAUCGAUGGACCGAGCGUUCGAUUCGAGGAUGAAGUUUCUUUAAAUUUUAUAUGUAUUUUCUGCACUUUAUUAUGUAAUCCAUUUAUUUAAAAUUAUGUUAUGUUUUUUUCUUUAAAAAAACAAUGAGAUCCCAUAUCCUACUUUAAAUUUUAUGUAGUUUAACAUUUUUUUUAAGUUUUAAUGAAGUAAUGAUUAUUU